GAUGAAGAACGUAGCGAAAUGCGAUACUUGGUGUGAAUUGCAGAAUCCCGUGAACCAUCGAGUCUUUGAACGCAAGUUGCGCCCGAAGCCAUUAGGCCGAGGGCACGCCUGCCUGGGCGUCACACGUCGUUGCCCCCCCAUCUACUCCUUCGGGAUUGCGGGGGGCGGAUGAUGGCCUCUCGUGCGCCUCGUCGCGCGGUUGGCCUAAAUGCCAAGUCCUCGGCGACGCACGCCACGACAAUCGGUGGUUGCGAAACCUCGGUUGCCUGUCGUGUGCGGUCGUCGUGCAUCGAGGACUCGAAAAAAUUGCCGGGCUUCGGCUCGACUUUCAACGCGACCCCAGGUCAGGCGGGGUUACCCGCUGAAUUUAAGCAUAUCAAUAAGCGGAGGA
rnacentral:misc_RNA from 1 species